UACAGAGGUCCCAAGCGUUGUUCGGAUUCACUGGGCGUAAAGGGUGCGCAGGUGGUCGGGUAAGUCUGAUGUGAAAUCCCGCAGCUUAACUGCGGAAUGGCAUUGGAUACUAUUCGGCUAGAGGGUUGGAGGGGGGACUGGAAUUCUCGGUGUAGCAGUGAAAUGCGUAGAUAUCGAGAGGAACACCAGUGGCGAAGGCGAGUCCCUGGACAACUCCUGGCGCUGAGGCACGAAAGCUAGGGGAGCAAACAGG
rnacentral:rRNA from 1 species